GCGACCCCAGGAUGGGCGGGAUGACCCGCUGAGUU
rnacentral:rRNA from 1 species